AGGUACGCCCUCGCACUCAACCUGGACAGAAGGUUGUUUUGAAGAAAAAAGGGAUCAAAGUAAGAAACUCGUUUUCUCUUGGAGAUGAAUACGUCCACUUUAAAGUUAGCAUUCCAACAAACUUGACCCAAAGGCAACGUCAAUUGGUGGAGGAGCUUGUUAAGGAAGAGCGAGGGAAAGAUGAUAAAGAAGACGAAGAUGAUAAAGAAGAGGCAGCAGUUGCAAGUGCUUGAGUUCUAUCUUGUAUUUGUUGUGAGCAAAAGAAACUACAGAGCCUCGUCAGUUGUGGAGGUGCAAUUGUUUUUUAAUUGAAAAGCUUAUUUAUAUAUUUAAGGCUUCAACUCUCUUCAAGAUCAUAUUUAUCUGACUUGGAUUAGUUCAUAAAUUUUGUAAAUAUUCAUUACUUUGGUGGUAAAAAUUUUGUUGUUUGUUCAUGUAGGCUUCAGAGGCUGAUGUAAUCUCCUAAAAUUCAUUCAAUAAUUCCCAAUGUAUUAAUUAAUGAGAUUUGGGUUCUAA